UACGUAGGGCGCAAGCGUUUGUCCGGAAUUAUUGGGCGUAAAGAGCUCGUAGGCGGCUUGUCACGUCGGGUGUGAAAGCCCGGGGCUUAACCCCGGGUCUGCAUUCGAUACGGGCUAGCUAGAGUGUGGUAGGGGGAGAUCGGAAUUCCUGGUGUAGCGGUGAAAUGCGCAGAUAUCAGGAGGAACACCGGUGGCGAAGGCGGAUCUCUGGGCCAUUACUGACGCUGAGGAGCGAAAGCGUGGGGAGCGAACAGG
rnacentral:rRNA from 1 species